rnacentral:rRNA from 1 species
CCUGCCCCUAAGUCUGGGAUACCAUUUGGAAACAGGUGCUAAUACCGGAUAAUAAAGCAGAUCGCAUGAUCAGCUUUUGAAAGGCGGCGUAAGCUGUCGCUAAGGGAUGGCCCCGCGGUGCAUUAGCUAGUUGGUAAGGUAACGGCUUACCAAGGCGACGAUGCAUAGCCGAGUUGAGAGACUGAUCGGCCACAUUGGGACUGAGACACGGCCCAAACUCCUACGGGAGGCAGCAGUAGGGAAUCUUCCACAAUGGACGCAAGUCUGAUGGAGCAACGCCGCGUGAGUGAAGAAGGUUUUCGGAUCGUAAAGCUCUGUUGUUGGUGAAGAAGGAUAGAGGUAGUAACUGGCCUUUAUUUGACGGUAAUCAACCAGAAAGUCACGGCUAACUACGUGCCAGCAGCCGCGGUAAUACGUAGGUGGCAAGUGUUGUCCGGAUUUAUUGGGCGUAAAGCGAGCGCAGGCGGAAAAAUAAGUCUAAUGUGAAAGCCCUCGGCUUAACCGAGGAACUGCAUCGGAAACUGUUUUUCUUGAGUGCAGAAGAGGAGAGUGGAACUCCAUGUGUAGCGGUGGAAUGCGUAGAUAUAUGGAAGAACACCAGUGGCGAAGGCGGCUCUCUGGUCUGCAACUGACGCUGAGGCUCGAAAGCAUGGGUAAGCGAACAGGAUUAGAUACCC